rnacentral:rRNA from 1 species
GCAGUGGGGAAUAUUGGACAAUGGGGGCAACCCUGAUCCAGCCAUGCCGCGUGUGUGAAGAAGGCCUUCGGGUUGUAAAGCACUUUCAGCAGUGAGGAAAGGCGAGUGGUUAAUACCCGCUUGCUGUGACGUUAACUGCAGAAGAAGCACCGGCUAACUCCGUGCCAGCAGCCGCGGUAAUACGGAGGGUGCAAGCGUUAAUCGGAAUUACUGGGCGUAAAGCGCGCGUAGGUGGUUCAGUCAGUCAGAUGUGAAAGCCCCGGGCUCAACCUGGGAAUUGCACCUGAUACUGCUGAGCUAGAGUACGGUAGAGGGUAGUGGAAUUUCCGGUGUAGCGGUGAAAUGCGUAGAGAUCGGAAGGAACACCAGUGGCGAAGGCGACUACCUGGACCGAUACUGACACUGAGGUGCGAAAGCGUGGGUAGCAAAACAGGAUUAGAUAACCCUGGUAGUCCACGCCGUAAAACGAUGUCAACUAGCCGUUGGGGGACUUGAUCCUUUAGUGGCGCAGCUAACGCGAUAAGUGACCGCCUG